GCCAGUGUAGCAUAGUGGUUUGAGUGUUGGAGUUCAAUUCUGGAGACCAGGGUUCGAUUCCUGCUCAGACC
rnacentral:tRNA from 1 species